rnacentral:rRNA from 1 species
AUUGAACGCUGGCGGCAGGCCUAACACAUGCAAGUCGAACGAGUGGCGGACGGGUGAGUAAUGUCUGGGAAACUGCCUGAUUGAGGGGGAUAACUACUGGAAACGGUAGCUAAUACCGCAUACCAUCAGAUGUGCCCAGAUGGGAUUAGCUAGUUGGUGGGGUAACGGCUCACCAAGGCGACGAUCCCUAGCGGGUCUGAGAGGAUGACCAGGCACACUGAAAAUGAGACACGGUCCAGAGUCCUACGUGAGGCAACAGAGGGGAAUAUUGCACAAUGGGCUCAAGCCUGAUGCAACCAUGCGGCGUGUAUGAAAAAGGCCUUCGGGUUGUAAAGUACUUUCAGCGGGGAAGCGUUACCCGCAGAAGAAGCACCGGCUAACUCCGUGCCAGCAGCCGCGGUAAUAC